rfam:Ornithorhynchus anatinus chromosome 1, whole genome shotgun sequence.
AGCAGCGUGUCAUAGUGGAAAGAGCAUGGGCUUGGGAGUCAGAGGUCAUGGAUUCAAAUCCCAACUCUGCUA